rnacentral:rRNA from 1 species
GACGAACGCUGGCGGCGCGCCUAACACAUGCAAGUCGAACGGAGCUGAGAGAAGCUUGCUUUUCUUAGCUUAGUGGCGAACGGGUGAGUAACGCGUGAGUAACCUGCCCUGGAGUGGGGGACAACAGUUGGAAACGACUGCUAAUACCGCAUAAGCCCACGAUCCGGCAUCGGAUUGAGGGAAAAGGAUUUAUUCGCUUCAGGAUGGACUCGCGUCCAAUUAGCUAGUUGGUGAGGUAACGGCCCACCAAGGCGACGAUUGGUAGCCGGACUGAGAGGUUGAAAGGCCACAUUGGGACUGAGACACGGCCCAGAAUCCUACGGGAGGCAGCAGUGGGGGAUAUUGCACAAUGGGGGAAACCCUGAUGCAGCGACGCCGCGUGGAGGAAGAAGGUUUUCGGAUUGUAAACUCCUGUCGUUAGGGACGAUAAUGACGGUACCUAACAAGAAAGCACCGGCUAACUACGUG